rnacentral:miRNA from 1 species
CGGGGCAGCUGAGCAUGGGGCA